UACGGAGGGUGCAAGCGUUAUCCGGAUUCACUGGGUUUAAAGGGUGCGUAGGUGGGCUGGUAACUCAGUGGUGAAAUCUCCAGGCUUAACUUGGAAACUGCCAUUGAUACUAUCAGUCUUGAAUACCGUGGAGGUCAGCGGAAUAUGUCAUGUAGCGGUGAAAUGCUUAGAUAUGACAUAGAACACCAAUUGCGAAGGCAGCUGGCUACACGAAUAUUGACACUGAUGCACGAAAGCGUGGGGAUCAAACAGG
rnacentral:rRNA from 1 species